GUAGCUGUGGCUCAGUGGCAGAGCGCUUGCCUACCAUGCAUGAGGCACUGGGUUCAAUCCUCAGUACCAUAUA
rnacentral:tRNA from 1 species